rnacentral:misc_RNA from 1 species
GCCUUGCGUUAUUUCUUGGGGUCGCUUUCUCGGCACCGCGACUUGGUCAGCAUCAGUGUUCUCGGGGUUUCGACAGCGUAUAGUGUGUUUGAAACGCUAAGUGCCUUUUUCCAGUUUUCUACCCUCCUAAGCGAAAAACAAUAACACAAACACCAUGGACGCCAUCAAGAAGAAGAUGCAAGCGAUGAAGCUUGAGAAGGAUAAUGCCAUUGAUAAGGCAGAUACCUGCGAGAAUCAAGCCAAGGAUGCCAACUCCCGCGCCGACAAACUGAAUGAGGAGGUGCGCGAUUUGGAGAAGAAAUUUGUGCAGGUUGAGGUCGAUUUGGUCACCGCCAAGGAGCAGCUGGAGAAGGCCAAUACCGAAUUGGAAGAGAAGGAGAAACUGUUGACCUCCACGGAAUCCGAGGUGGCCACCUUGAACCGUAAGGUCCAACAGAUUGAGGAAGAUUUGGAGAAAUCUGAGGAGCGCUCAACAACCGCACAACAGAAGCUGUUGGAGGCCACACAAUCGGCCGAUGAGAACAACCGCAUGUGCAAAGUAUUGGAGAAUCGUUCCCAGCAGGAUGAGGAGCGUAUGGAUCAGUUGACCAACCAACUGAAGGAAGCCCGCAUGCUCGCUGAGGACGCCGAUACCAAGUCCGAUGAAGUGUCCCGCAAGCUGGCCUUCGUUGAAGAUGAGCUGGAAGUGGCUGAGGAUCGUGUCCGCUCCGGUGAAUCCAAGAUCAUGGAGCUGGAGGAAGAGCUGAAGGUUGUCGGCAACUCGCUGAAAUCUCUGGAAGUGUCCGAGGAGAAGGCCAACCAGCGCGUCGAGGAAUUCAAGCGCGAGAUGAAGACCUUGUCCAUCAAGUUGAAGGAAGCCGAACAGCGCGCCGAGCAAGCCGAGAAGCAAGUGAAGCGCCUGCAGAAGGAGGUCGACAGGCUAGAAGACCGUCUCUUCCAUGAGAAAGAAAAAUACAAAGCAAUCUGCGACGAUUUGGACCAGACAUUUGCUGAACUUACUGGAUAUUAAAAAACAAGAACAAGCACACCAAAAACAAAACAAACACAAAAUGUCAAACAGUUCCCAUAACACACUCACACACACACGCACACACACGCACAGAUGUGCUCCUUCAGAUCCCUAGCAAAAUUCAUGCACUUCUCCCACUGUGUAGAUUUUCCACAUAUUCAGUCACAAUUUACACUGUAAAUAAUUUGUUUAGUCUUCCUUAAAUGUGGUUGCUGUUGCAGCACAUACAACCCAGCCCUCAAGAUACACUGUAAAAAUAAGUCCAGACCAAAAGAAAAAAAAAAAAAACAGUUCCACUAUCAAUAUAAAAAAAAAAUGCCAACUGUAGUUAUUUAUGCUUUCUCAAAACAACCAGACGAGCUGGGCAUCAA